CGCGGCGCCAUCUUGAUCGAGUAUAUGGAAAAUACCUUGCUCAUAAUUCAUGAUUAAUGGUUAAAGAGUGAUAGAAUAUUUGAUAAAAUGAAACUGUACAGUUGAACAUUUAUAAAGUGUACUAUUUGGUUUAUUAGUAACACUUUUACACUUUUGAGGUUACAAUGAUGCCUUAAAGAAAAAAACUAAGAUUGAGAAAAGUAUUCAGUUGUUAUAAUAGCCUGUUGUCAUACAGGCUGGGUUUUUUGGAUACCUGAGAAGAAACCUGUGAACCUAGGAUUCUCUCCCUGACGAGGGAGAUGGCGAGCCGACCAGCUUGAUCAACUUGAUUCAUCUUCAUCCAUUGAGGAAGAACCCCCUGAUACCCCUUGUUUCUCCCAACCCCACUCUGGUGUGGUAGGAUUGUGAUUGAGAAAUUACACAAUUUUAUUUGAUACUUUAUUUUUUGUAAAAAGGGUACACCCAACCAACAAUACUGACUUGAAACUAACUAAAUUGAACUUGACCAAUUGAACUGAACCAGACUGAACAGAAGACAUUCAGAACUGAAUGGACAGUGAAUACAGUUACAACACUCAGGACAUUGAUAUGAAGACAAAUGAAUGUGUUUGAAUGUGAUAAGCUUUACAUAUUGUCGUUACGUUUUCUUUAAUACAGUUCUAACCAUUUUGCACUUACUUUCUGGCUCCGGUUGUUCAUUGUGUCCAUCUCUUCAUUCAUAACCUCUCCUUACGAACCUAGCUUUAACCUGAAAAUAUUUACCUACUGCUAAGUGACCCUUUAGGUGGGUUACAGUCAUCAUAUACGUGACUAUCCUGAACUGAUACUUUGCUUUGGGCCUCUUAUUCGCUCUUGGACCCUUAGGUUUGAGAGUAAACACACUUUUUAAACAGUGUGCUCGCAAAUUACACAACUUCAAGAAUUUGUGAUCUGUUGAUUAUUUAGGCCUCCAGCUACGUAGCUCUGUGGCUGUACACAAUGUCACCGUUAAAGGCACAAGCUACAAAAAAAGCCACGUGUGUUGUCUUUGAGAAGAAUGAUGAGGGACUAGUCUUUGGCAAGAUAGAACUGAUUCUUGUUUGCAACAGUUGUGUUUACUUUGUCACAGAGAAAUGCCAGUCUGAUUUCCUUUUGAUCAGGGGAUUUACUGCCUAAAGAUGGGCUCAGAGAACCCCAUUUCAAAUUAUUUCUGCCUCGAACAUGCAAGCCUGCUUGACUAUUACCCUUUGCCUGUGUACAACAUGUUUGGUCUGUCUCUAAUAGCCCUUCGCCACUCCUUUCCUUCAGAAUGUCUGAUAUAAGUGAGAGCAUCAAGGACGCAGUCAUUUCUGUCCUGCCAAGUGUGCCAGAAGAAACGAUCUUACACCAGGGAGUGGAAAGCAAAGAUGACUUGCAGUACAUAAGAGAACAGGAAAUUGCAGAGGUUAUUUGACCAAUUCAGUGCAGAAAACUUUUAAAUGCAUGGAAAUGAGCAGAUGCCAUAAGUUGUGCUACCCCCCUACUCCAGUCCCCAGAAGGCAGUUCAUCACUGUCAAGCUCCUUGAGAUCCAGUAGCCCUUCACCAUCACAUUCCAUUCCAUUCCAUAACUUGGCGUCAUUUUGAUGUCAAUACUUUUGAGUAACUUGGCAUUUUUGUUGUAAACAUGUUUUUUAUGAGAUAUCAUUUCUUUUUGCAAAGAGUUUUAUUAUGAGAGUGAGAAAUGCGAAGUGACCCUGUAAGAAACGUUUGUGGAUUAUGGCUAUCCUUGUGUGAAUUUGUACAGUCUGAUGAGCGUGUACUGUUUAGCAGUUUCGGUUUGCUAUCUAUGUAAAACAGUGGCUGUGACAAAGGGUGCGGUGGCGUAUAAGUGUAAAACGUAUCAGAGAUGCAUGUGAAAUAUGGCCAGUGUAUGUACUCACGUCCAUCCAACUGACAAAAGAAUCAGCAAGCCCGUAGAAUUAUAACUCUCUAGGUCGCAACUUGUGUAGCCUUCUGUCCUGCUCCGUUGUCUGUUAUUUCGUGGAGAUGCACUUUUAGUGUUUGUAAGGUUUAUAAGGCAUUUUGAUAGGCUUAUCUGCAGGUAGGAAUCCUCUUCGCUGUUUUGCUAAACUAGAACCGGAAAACAUGAUAGUGGAGAAUAGGAGCAGACGCAUAUGUCCCAGCAGGUUUUGCAUAUGAGAAAAUAACAACAGUGUGAGAGAAAUUAGGGUGAAAUUAUUAAAUUUCGGAGUUGAAACAAUAUGUUUUUAGCAGAAUGGGCAUGUAGGUGAAAGUUGACAUGAUCACGGAGUAUAGUGCGAAGUAAAUGGAGUGACCAUGAGCGAGCUUAUAUUCCUUAUCGAACGGUAUAUAUAACAGUCGCUAUAAAGUGCCAGCUGUUAAAGUGGGGGGUUAAGUAACACGUGAAAUCUAUUGCACUGCUAUGUUUUUUUCAUGUUCAGUACUAGUACUGAAUCAUGUUUUUAAAUGUAAUAUUUUAAUGGGUAGUUGCAGAACGUACAUACAUAGUAAUUGUUUGUAUGUGGCUGGAUAGAGAACAGGGCGAGGUAACAUGAUGUAGAAAUGUGGCGUUUGCUGAUAAGAAGGUUUUGUACAGUAGCCAAGUGAAGAAAUGUAGUUAGUAGAAAUGGCACAGCUGUGAACUGGUGUAACCUUUUGAUAAAAGUAUUACAUUUGCCAUCAUGAAAUGCAUAUGGGUGGCCAUGAGUGAGUUUUGGUAAAGAAAAUAUAAGUGUAAGAGAACGUUAGUGUAAAAGAGGAAAUUACUACCCCCUUUCUCACCUCUCCAUCUCUACCUUUGAAUACCACUCUGUCUCAAUCACCUAUCCUGUUAACUUGUACAUUGUUGUUAUCUAUCGCCCUCCAGGGCCCCUGGGAAGCUUCCUCGACGAGCUCAACACCCUGCUCAGCUCCUUCCCAGAGAAUGGUGUAGAGGGGAGUCAAACUGGGACCCAGAAAAGGCUGGCAUUUGAACGGGCCUGCAGGCUGGGACUCAUCCUGUACUUCAAAGAACCCAGAGCCGUGUGAUAAAACAAUAAGUUACUUGGACUUCCUCGGGAUAAGCAGGCCAUUUGGCUCUUUGGAAUGUUGCCAUCUGGACACAUCUAAGAUAAGGGGAACUAGUCUCUUUGUCUAUGGUUGUGGGGGUAUGUGUGUUCGGGCCAUUAAGGGUAAAAAGAUCAUCAGGCCUCUGGACAAAUGGUGGGGCAACUACGCUUGACAGUUCCACAGUGCCGUUAUGUGGGCCCCUCUAUCAUUACACUUUUUAUUUAUUUUCUGGAUCUGGACUCUAAACCAUCUGUUUAUCAUAUUUACAAACCCCGGAAAACCUUACAAACCAUGCACGUGUUUUCAUUAUAUUACUGUAUUAUGCCUUAUGUAAUAAUAACAUGGAUUGCAUGUAAAAUGCUUCAACAAAAGGGUAUUUUCAUGACAACUGCACCAUAAUAUUACAUCCCCUGGACAUGUUUGGCAUAUUCAGGAAAAUUCCAGAAA